rnacentral:rRNA from 1 species
UACGGGGGGGGCGAGCGUUAUUCGGAAUUAUUGGGCGUAAAGGGCGCGUAGGCGGCCUGGUAAGUCGAAGGUGAAAUCCCCGAGCUCAACUUGGGAACUGCCUUCGAUACUGCCGGGCUUGAGUCCGGGAGGGGAAAGUGGAAUUCCCAGUGCAGCGGUGAAAUGCGUAGAUAUUGGGAGGAACACCAGUGGCGAAGGCGGCUUUCUGGACCGGAUCUGACGCUGAGGCGCGAAAGCGUGGGUAGCAAACAGG